AUUGAACGCUGGCGGCAUGCUUUACACAUGCAAGUCGAACGGUAACAGGCCGCAAGGUGCUGACGAGUGGCGAACGGGUGAGUAAUGCAUCGGAACGUGCCCGGUCGUGGGGGAUAACGCAGCGAAAGCUGCGCUAAUACCGCAUACGAUCUAAGGAUGAAAGCGGGGGACCGUAAGGCCUCGCGCGAUCGGAGCGGCCGAUGUCAGAGUAGGUAGUUGGUGGGGUAAAGGCUCACCAAGCCGACGAUCUGUAGCUGGUCUGAGAGGACGACCAGCCGCACUGGGACUGAGACACGGCCCAGACUCCUACGGGAGGCAGCAGUGGGGAAUUUUGGACAAUGGGCGCAAGCCUGAUCCAGCAAUGCCGCGUGCAGGAAGAAGGCCUUCGGGUUGUAAACUGCUUUUGUACGGAACGAAACGGCUCUGGUUAAUACCUGGGGCUAAUGACGGUACCGUAAGAAUAAGCACCGGCUAACUACGUGCCAGCCGCCGCGGUAAGAC
rnacentral:rRNA from 1 species